UACAGAGGGUGCAAGCGUUAAUCGGAAUUACUGGGCGUAAAGCGUGCGUAGACGGUUGCGUAAGUCAGAUGUGAAAGCCCCGGGCUCAACCUGGGAAUUGCAUUUGAGACUGCGUAGCUAGGGUGCGGAAGAGGGAAGCGGAAUUUCCGGUGUAGCGGUGAAAUGCGUAGAUAUCAGGAGGAACACCGGUGGCGAAGGCGGGUCUCUGGGCCGAAAUUGACGCUGAGGAGCGAAAGCGUGGGGAGCAAACAGG
rnacentral:rRNA from 1 species